GCCUACGGGGCGCAGCAGUGGGGGAUAUUGCACAAUGGGGGAACCCUGAUGCAGCGACGCCGCGUGGGUGAAGAAGCGCCUCGGCGCGUAAAGCCCUGUCAGCAGGGAAGAAAAUGACGGUACCUGAAGAAGAAGCCCCGGCUAACUACGUGCCAGCAGCCGCGGUAAUACGUAGGGGGCAAGCGUUAUCCGGAUUUACUGGGUGUAAAGGGGGCGCAGACGGCGAUGCAAGCCAGGAGUGAAAGCCCGGGGCCCAACCCCGGGACUGCUCUUGGAACUGCGGGGCUGGAGUGUAGGAGGGGCAG
rnacentral:rRNA from 1 species